GCCCGCUCAGAACUACAAAGGAAGUUGACGGGGGCCCGCGACAAGCGGUGGAGUAUGUGGUUUAAUUCGAUGCAACGCGAAGAACCUUACCUGGUCUUGACAUCCCGGAGACCCUUAGGAAACUAGGGGUGCUUCCAUCUGGAAGAAUCUGGAGACAGGUGCUGCAUGGCUGUCGUCAGCUCGUGUCGUGAGAUGUUGGGUUAAGUCCCGCAACGAGCGCAACCCUUGCCUUUAGUUGCCAGCAGUUCGGCUGGGCACUCUAAAGGGACUGCCGGUGUUAAACCGGAGGAAGGUGGGGAUGACGUCAAGUCCUCAUGGCCUUUAUGACCAGGGCUACACACGUACUACAAUGGCCGAUACAAAGGGCAGCGACACUGCGAGGUGAAGCCAAUCCCGUAAAAUCGGUCUCAGUCCGGAUUGGAGUCUGCAACUCGACUCCAUGAAGUUGGAAUCGCUAGUAAUCGUGGAUCAGCAUGCCACGGUGAAUACGUUCCCGGGCCUU
rnacentral:rRNA from 1 species